GAUCAUUUUUCUUAGUAGCAUUUAGAGGUGUUGUAGUGCUUCUUCUCAGCCUGCUCAUGCUGUCACCUCUGAAGCUUGGCUAAGUGACAGAGCAUGCCACUCAAGCAGACUAAUCUUGAAGGGAAAAUACGAGAGCAGGGCCUUUCAGCUCCCCAGAGCCUUCUCUUCCCUGUGUCUGUCUGUGGCCGACAGCAAGUGCUUGCAGAAGAAAAACAAGAAAGAAGGCCAGUGUAGUGCUGGCCACGUUGCAACCGGCUCUGAUCCUUGCAUCCUGUGUGGCUUGGGAUGUUCUGGGCUACGGGAUAUGUUUGUGCCUGUCCAAAAGUCCUGAAGGCACCUUUAAUUACUUUUUUUUUAAUCACUUCUUGAACCUUCCUUUGGACAGCCUUGGGCUUCACACCAUCCCAUGGUGGUGCAUCACACAGUGCUCUCAGGUGGUUUUGUAAAAUAGUCCCUUUUUUUUCUUGUUUACCAACUUUCAACCUGAUGUUUUCUUUUAGUGCCUUCUUACUCUUGUGUUAAGAAAAGCAAUGGAUAAUAGUUAUCUGUUAACCUUUUCUAUUUCAUACAUGCAGAGCUCUCUGCCUCACUCUGCUCUGUUGUCUCCUUUUCCAAGCCUUAUUUAGUCUCCCUUUUUCAGAAGGUGACCCAUUCCUCUGACCAUUCCUUUCACGUCUGCAUCUACUGCCCUUCUCAUUUUUCUGCAUGCUUUUUGAAAGGGUGUAAUCAGAAUUUAAUGUAUUACUUUAAGAUGUGGGCUUUUCUAAGUUUAUUAUUUCUUUCUUUUUCAGGUGUUCAGUGAUCUGUACUUAUUACAUAAAACAUACAUAUGUAAUGCAAUAUUGAAGACACAGAUAUAGGAUUUCUGAAAAACUGAGGUGCUGCAUGAAAUAAUCUUAGGUUUAAAAUUCAUCUUAUGUUGCAUUUAAAAUGUAAAAAUGGACAGUAUAUGAACAGAGUAGGACUUUCCCCUGUAGAAAAUAUAAUAUUAAAAUAAAUUGACACGUUUAUUAAACAAAAAUUAAUAACUAAAUUGACAAAUUAAUAGAUAAGUUGAUUAAACUUUGUCCUUGUGUAAUUGCAACAAAGAUAUUAUAGUACUCUAGCCUGGAGAGGAUAGCAUUUACAGAGACUAACUUUUGUGGAGGGUGUCCUGUGUCUUUUGUCAGUCGUCUCAGUGCUGUCCUUAGUCUUUCUCCACCAAAACAGUCUCUCAAAACCAAGAAGUCCAUGCUGUCUGAAGGGACCUCCAAGGCUCCAUGAAAAUUCAUCUUUGUGCCACUGAAGCACAGGGCAACAGUAGGAACAGCCUUAAGGGAGUGCUUCACCUGGUACUGGGUUUCCAAGAGGCAUUUUUCAGACUGUGGCUUUUCAGCCGGUUUUUAAGAGCCCUCUGGAAAUAUCUCCCAAUCCCAUGGCUCCACAGGUUGCCAGCUAAAGAUGACCAUUUGUGUAACUGGACUUCGAGCCAAGUCUAUGGCAAAAAUAGACUGCAAAAAUGAUGAAUCACAACUAAACACUACUGCACAAUACUACAUUUACACUGCUCUGUCAUUUUCAUUUUUUGGAUUGCAAUCUAACCAUCUGUUAAUUGGCUACAGGGUGCUGAGAUUCGUUGUAGGCCUGUAGGAUGAUCAGUGUCUCCCAAGCCAUUCAGGAUGAGCCUUGCAGCUUUUCAGGUCCUGCUGCUGUUUACAUCAAGUGCACUAAGACUGGCUGUCCCAGCUGCCAUCGUCCCUCUGAUUGCCUCAGCCUCACUGCUAUUUUAUGACCAGAGAUUGUGUCUGAGCAGAAGGAUGUGAGUGCCUCACCUGCCUUCAAGAAAAUAAUUUUUUGCCAAGGAGGACAGGAUUUUUAGGCAUUGGGACUGUCAGUUAACCCCACCUGGAAACAAAGUGUGAUGCUUUGCUUGGGGUGGGACUGAUCCUGCUCCCCAGCACUCAACUUUGGCAUUGCUUUCACAGGGAUCAGAAUAAAUCCUGGUCAAGCUAA